AGGAAUAAAAAAACUAACGUAACAAAACAAUAGAAGAAAGUUUAAUUAAUUAUGAUUAGGACAAGUUGUUUUAGAACAAAGUUUAAUUGGUACGAUACAGAACAUUUGCUGGAUAACGUACCAGUAUGUAAAAGAAGGACAGUUUUGGAAUUAUAAUAUAAAAUUGAGGAUAAUUUUGUGAAUCUAAUAAAAAUAGAAACAUCUUUCAUCCCCUACCCUCCAAAUCCCCCCAAAUUGGGGGAGCAAAAACCGGUUCUUGGAGGGAUUUUGCUCCCCUCCUAUCCCCUUCUAAAAAUUGAACCAAACACAAAUACUUAAAAAUAUCUCCUCCCCUGCAUUUACCAUGAACCAAACACACCCUAACACUUUCGUGCAUGGUGUCAUUUUGGAGUGUUUAGAUGUCCACGAUAUAUUUCCUUGGCUUAAAUGCAGUUUUACCCCCCUUAUUUUGAAAAAUGCGGAAUUUUACCCUCCUAUUUUAAAAUGCGGAAUUUUACCCCCUUAUUUUAUAAUUUGUUGGAUUUUGCCCCCCACCAAAAUUUUGCACAAAAUCUGCUUCUGAGCCUCAAGUUCAAAGCUUCGCACAUAACUCAAUUUGGAUCAAUAAUUCACCAACUGGUACCGAAACGACCGCAAUCGAGUUAGUUUU
rnacentral:lncRNA from 1 species